rnacentral:rRNA from 1 species
AUGAAUGCUGGCGGCAUGCCUAAUACAUGCAAGUCGAGCGGCAACGAGGGUCUCAUCCUAUUCUUGAAGCUUUCGAGAAUAGAAUGAGAUCUGUCGGCGAGCGGCGGACGGCUGAGUAAUGCAUGGGAACGCACCCAAACUGAGGGAUAACCAGUCGAAAGAUUGGCUAAUACCGCAUGUGAUCUUCGGAUUAAAGUCUUCGGGCGGUUUGGGAGCGGCCUGUGUACGAUUAGAUAGUUGGUGAGGUAAUGGCUCACCAAGUCGACGAUCGUUAGAUGGUUUGAGAGGAUGAUCAUCCAGACUGGGACUGAGACACGGCCCAGACUCCUACGGGAGGCAGCAGUAGGGAAUCUUUCACAAUGGGCGAAAGCCUGAUGGAGCAAUGCCGCGUGCAGGACGAAGGCCUUCGGGUUGUAAACUGCUUUUAUAAGCGAGGAAUAUGACGGUAACUUAUGAAUAAGGAUCGGCUAACUACGUGCCAGCCGCAGC